rnacentral:rRNA from 1 species
GCCCCAGUAACGGCGAGUGAAGCGGCAACAGCUCAAAUUUGAAAUCUGGCUUCUGCCCGAGUUGUAAUUUGUAUAGGAUGCUUUUGGUGAGGUGCCUUCUGAGUUCCCUGGAACGGGACCCGAAGAGGGUGAGAGCCCCGUAUAGUUGGACGCCCAGCCUCUGUUAAGCUCCUUCGACCAGUCGAGUAGUUUGGGAAUGCUGCUCAAAAUGGGAGGUAUAUAUCUUCUAAAGCUAAAUACUGGCCUGAGACCGAUAGCGCACAAGUAGAGUGAUCGAAAGAUGAAAAGCACUUUGAAAAGAGGGUUAAAUAGUACGUGAAAUUGUUGAAAGGGAAGCGCUUGUGACCAGACUUGUGCCCGGCUGAUCAUCCGGUGUUCUCACUGGUGCACUCUGCCGGGCUCAGGCCAGCGUCGGUUCUCGCAGGGGGACAAAAGCUUCGGGAACGUAGCUCCUCCGGGAGUGUUAUAGCCCGUUGCUCAACACCCCUGCGGGGACCGAGGUUCGCGCUCUGCAAGGACGCUGGCAUAAUGGUCAUCAGCGGCCCGUCUUGAAACACGGACCAAGGAGUCGAGGUUUUGCGCGAGUGUUUGGGUGUAAAACCCGCACGCGUAAUGAAAGUGAACGUAGGUGAGAGCUUCGGCGCAUCAUCGACCGAUCCUGAUGUAUUCGGAUGGAUUUGAGUAAGAGCGUAUAGCCUCGGACCCGAAAGAUGGUGAACUAUGCCUGAAUAGGGUGAAGCCAGAGGAAACUCUGGUGGAGGCUCGCACCGGUUCUGACGUGCAAAUCGAUCGUCAAAUUUGGGCAUGGGGGCGAAAGAUUAAUCGAACCAUCUA